AUUGAACGCUGGCGGCAGGCCUAACACAUGCAAGUCGAGCGGUAGAGAGGUGCUUGCACCUCUUGAGAGCGGCGGACGGGUGAGUAAUGCCUAGGAAUCUGCCUGGUAGUGGGGGAUAACGCUCGGAAACGGACGCUAAUACCGCAUACGUUCUACGGGAGAAAGCAGGGGACCUUCGGGCCUUGCGCUAUCAGAUGAGC
rnacentral:rRNA from 1 species